CUCCAUGUCCUAAUAAAAUUCCAUUGAAUUCUAUUGUAAAUUUUUUUUUAUUCAUUUCCUUAUUGUAGAAAGUUCGGUAUACGUAAAUUUCUCAUCCCAUUUCUUGCUUAUCCGUUUCUUUUAUGGUAUAGUAAAGUUGCUCCAUAUCCUAAUAAAGUUCUCCUCCAAUACAAUUUUUUUACUUAUUUCCUCCAAUUAAUGCAAAUUCUAGUGAAAAAUAAAUUUGUGAAAU
rnacentral:lncRNA from 1 species